rnacentral:rRNA from 1 species
AUUGAACGCUGGCGGCAGGCCUAACACAUGCAAGUCGAGCGGAUGAAGGGAGCUUGCUCCUGGAUUCAGCGGCGGACGGGUGAGUAAUGCCUAGGAAUCUGCCUGGUAGUGGGGGAUAACGUCCGGAAACGGGCGCUAAUACCGCAUACGCCCUGAGGGAGAACGUGGGGGAUCUUCGGACCUCCCGCUAUCAGAUGAGCCUAGGUCGGAUUAGCUAGUUGGUGGGGUAAAGGCCUACCAAGGCGACGAUCCGUAACUGGUCUGAGAGGAUGAUCAGUCACACUGGAACUGAGACACGGUCCAGACUCCUACGGGAGGCAGCAGUGGGGAAUAUUGGACAAUGGGCGAAAGCCUGAUCCAGCCAUGCCGCGUGUGUGAAGAAGGUCUUCGGAUUGUAAAGCACUUUAAGUUGGGAGGAAGGGCAGUAAGUUAAUACCUUGCUGUUUUGACGUUACCAACAGAAUAAGCACCGGCUAACUUCGUG